rnacentral:lncRNA from 1 species
GCUCAUUUUUUUUCCCCUAAUGUUGCUGUUGGAGAGGCUUCUCAUUUGUACUGUGAAAGGCCUGGAAAGAAUCCAAGUCAUAUGGAGCUUGACUCCGGAGAAAGUGUUAACAACAGGAAAAUAUGAAGAAGCCCUGGAGCCCUGACUUACCAGCUGAUAACCACUUGUAUAAUUCAGAUUUCGCAUCCAUCCCAGGCAGAGAAAGUGAGAAAGAAUUAGCACCUGAUGGCACUGAAGAAAAGAAGGAGAGAGAAAAGAAACAGACCAAUUUCACUUUGUGCAGUGUUUGUAACAUUCAGCUGAACUCUGCUGCUCAGGCACAAAUCCACUACAAUGGCAAAUCCCAUCAGAAGAGGUUAAAACAGCUCAGCAAUGGAAAUCUCAAAAGUGAUAAUGGACACAUGAAUCUUCUGCUAUGCACAGGUUUCAACAUAUGGCUUUCCUCAGUAAUUCUGCAGAUGCUCCUAAGGUUUAGAAUUUAUUAUAUCUUCAUCUCUGGAGUUGAUAGCUUUCUUCUUCAUUUUUUUAAUUUUUGUUUUUAAUUGAUUACAGAGAAUCCAGCAA